rnacentral:rRNA from 1 species
AGAGACCUCGAGCGUUUUCCGGAUUCAUUGGGCGUAAAGCGUCCGCAAAUGGCUAGGUAAGUCUGACCUGAAAUCCAACGGCUCAACCGUUGACACGGGUUAGAUACUGCCAAGCUAGAGGGUUGGAGAGGCCGAUGGAACUCCCGGUGUAGCAGUGAAAUGCGUUAAUAUCGGGAAGAACACCAAUUGCGUAGGCAGUCGGCUGGCCAACAUCUGACAUCCAGGGACGAAAGCGUGGGUAGCGAACGGGGGAUUAGAUACCCCGGUAGUCCACGCUGUAAACGAUGGGUACUAGGCUUGGGAGGUUUCGACACUUUCCGAGUCGUAAGCUAACGCGUUAAGUACCUCGCCUGGGAAGUACGGCCGCAAGGCUA